rnacentral:lncRNA from 1 species
UGUCAGGGGUAUGUCAUCUUUUUGUUGAUUUCCAGUUGAACAGGCUAAGCAGUUGUAAAUACCUCUUGUCAGACUACGUGUGGCUUUUUCUCCCACACAGAGGCCGUCUAGUAACCCACUGGGCAGAUUCCGCAGAGAGCCUCCGUGGAAAGCUCUCGCACGCAGCCCAUGAACGGCUCCAGAGCAAAGGAGGGACCGUGAAGGAAGCGGGAGGUGAUGGGUACGGAGGUGGCUGUGGCCUGGGCCUUUAGUUAUGCUGGCACCAACCUUCACGCUUGCAGUUGCGUGUUCUCCGGGCCUUCCUUGGAUUAUGUUCUAAAGAUGUGUUUUAACGGCUACCGUACAGAGCGAGAUGAGGAAGCAAUGGAGACUCAUCGUGACAGGCAAAGGGCACAGAGGGUGAUCCUUUUCAGUGAUGUGACCCUCACCUGCCACCAAGGGGGAAGGCUUUAGGGAGAGCUGCUGCAGCCAGACCACAAGCUUGUGCCAAAGCCACUCUGAAUCCGAGUAGCACCAGCAGGGGCCUGGAAGAAGGUCGCGAUGCCACAAAAGCACUUGGCAAGAUGGCUCAGCAGGUAAAGGUACUUGCUGCCAAAUCUGACAACCUGGAUUGGGUCCUGGGACUCACACGGAGGAAGAAGUGAACAGGUGCCUCUGGAUGGUCCUCUCACCUUUACCACAUGCCUUGGCUGGCACAUGUCCAUCUACCAACCC